rnacentral:rRNA from 1 species
UGGUUCUCCCCGAAAGCUAUUUAGGUAGCGCCUCGUGAACUCAUCUUCGGGGGUAGAGCACUGUUUCGACUAGGGGGUCAUCCCGACUUACCAACUCGAUGCAAACUACGAAUACCGAAGAAUGUUAUCACGGGAGACACACGGCGGGUGCUAACGUUCGUCGUGAAGAGGGAAACAACCCAGACCGCCAGCUAAGGUCCCAAAGUCAUAGUUAAGUGGGAAACGAAGUGGGAAGGCUCAGACAGCCAGGAUGUUGGCUUAGAAGCAGCCAUCAUUUAAAGAAAGCGUAAUAGCUCACUGGUCGAGUCGGCCUGCGCGGAAGAUGUAACGGGGCUAAACUAUGCACCGAAGCUGCGGCAGCGAUAUGUAAAUAUUGUUGGGUAGGGGAGCGUUCUGUAAGCCUGUGAAGGUGUACUGUGAGGUAUGCUGGAGGUAUCAGAAGUGCGAAUGCUGACAUAAGUAACGAUAAUGCGGGUGAAAAACCCGCACGCCGGAAGACCAAGGGUUCCUGUCCAACGUUAAUCGGGGCAGGGUGAGUCGACCCCUAAGGCGAGGCAGAAAUGCGUAGUCGAUGGGAAACGGGUUAAUAUUCCCGUACUGGUGAUAAUUGCGAUGGGGGGACGGAGAAGGCUAGGCUGGCCGGGCGACGGUUGUCCCGGUUUAAGGAUGUAGGCAGGUGAA